GCCUCGGCGUUGUAAUAGUAGAGCACGCCUCCCUGGCGGAUAGGAUGAGACGGGGGUUCGAUUCUCGCCUGAGGCC